GACGAACGCUGGCGGCGUGCUUAACACAUGCAAGUCGAACGGAAAGGCCCUGCUUUUGUGGGGUGCUCGAGUGGCGAACGGGUGAGUAACACGUGAGUAACCUGCCCUUGACUUUGGGAUAACUUCAGGAAACUGGGGCUAAUACCGGAUAGGAGCUCCUGCUGCAUGGUGGGGGUUGGAAAGUUUCGGCGGUUGGGGAUGGACUCGCGGCUUAUCAGCUUGUUGGUGGGGUAGUGGCUUACCAAGGCUUUGACGGGUAGCCGGCCUGAGAGGGUGACCGGCCAGAUUGGGACUGAGAGACGGCCGAGACUCCUACGGGAGGCAGCAGUGGGGAAUAUUGAACGAUGGGCGGAAGCCUGAUUCAGCAACGCCGCGUGCGGGAUGACGGCCUUCGGGUUGUAAACCGCUUUCGCCUGUGACGAAGCGUGAGUGACGGUAAUGGGUAAAGAAGCACCGGCUAACUACGUG
rnacentral:rRNA from 1 species